rnacentral:tRNA from 1 species
UCUAAUGUGGCAGAAAAAAUGCAAUAAAUUUAAGAUUUAUAUAUAAAGAAAAAUCUUUUUUUAGAA